rnacentral:misc_RNA from 1 species
UUCUAUUCACGGGUUUCUUCAUUCUUGCUCACCCACAGUGAUCAAGUCCUUUCUUAUACCCUUCAGAGACCCACUCCACUCCUGUGCUAGCUCAACCACACAGAGAUCGAGCCCUUUUUCACAUCCUUCAGAGACCCUCUCCCCUGUUGCGUCUUUGAGUCGAUGUUCCAGAUGUUGCAUGUUUGAGCCGAUGUUGAAGAUGCGCAGCUGUUGCCGAUGCUAUUGA